CUCCUUAAGGCACUUAGGUGCGGUAGUUUUCCGGACGUAUGGGACAAUUGUCUCUCAUAUGUCCAUUACUACUGCAGUAUAAACAUAAACCUUCAUUUCUCCUAUAUUGUUUUUCAGCCUCUGACAGUCUAGUGACCCCCAACUGCAUGGGUUCAAGUUCGGACUGUAUUGGAAGGUCAGGAACAAUAGGUUCGAAGAGACGGGGUGUUAAAGGUAUAGUCAUACAUCUGGUCUUAUUUCUAGUAUUGUAUUCUCUCUGGUUCUUAGUCUAUUAUCAAUUUGCAUAACAAAUGUGGUGAACUUGUUAAGUUUCUUGGGUGGAUCUUUG